UACGUAGGGGGCGAGCGUUAUCCGGAAUUAUUGGGCGUAAAGAGUGCGUAGGUGGUUGUUUAAGCGUGGGGUGAAAGGCAAUGGCUUAACCAUUGUGAGCCUCGCGAACUGGGCGACUUGAGUGCAGGAGAGGAAAGCGGAAUUCCUAGUGUAGCGGUGAAAUGCGUAGAUAUUAGGAGGAACACCAGUGGCGAAGGCGGCUUUCUGGACUGUAACUGACACUGAGGCACGAAAGCGUGGGGAGCAAACAGGAUUAGAUACCCCCGUAGUCCCUGA
rnacentral:rRNA from 1 species